CACGCAGUGGUGCCACUGCUGUUGUUGUUCAGGAGUCUCCCUGCACUUUGUCCCGGAGUUGCCAUUGUCCCGCGCCUAGCAUUCACGCAGGCAGCUCGACUGCCCCAUGUGACUGGCUCGUCUGCCUGCCUUGCCCUUUGUGUGGCCUUGACCCUCGCCGCAGCACCCGGGGCUGCCCAGGAUUCCAGCAGAGAAGCCCAAGACCAGGGUCCAGGCUGACGCUCUUCCAGGGAACUCAGGAGGGAUAUUCCCCUUCUGCACCGCCCUCUCUGUCCUGCUCUCCACCCUCUUCCCUCCCGUCAAUUUUCCCAGGUUGGCUUGGAGAAGCAGCUACAGGUGAAUCUGAGCCGGCGCCGCAGGAGCGCCCUGUUCUCUUUAGAGAUGCAUCCCUGCUCUCUCCCCAGGGCCCCGCUUUCUACAAAUUCAAAGCUUAGGGGCUUUUUAAAAAAGGAUAUUUUUUCUUUUUCACUCCUAAUACCAGCGUACUCUUUGCUCUUCCCUUCCCUUAGUAAAUAGUGGUUCUUGCCUCCACACCCCCAGCAUCUUAAGGAGCUCAGUCAGUGAGCAACGGGGAGCCAUAGAAGAUUGUUGAGCCGGGGAGAGACACAGCCAUGAUGGAGGUUGUGUUAAAAAGGUGAUUUGGGAGGUGCAGAGGCAGGAAGUCGGAAGACUGUUCCAGCAGUCUAGGCCAAGGGGGAUGGAGGCUCAGGCCAAAUCAGCCCACUCCCUCGGGGCCACCUGUGGCAGCAGUGAUAGAAGGUAUCGGAAGCUUUUCUUCCUUGGCCCUCACGUAUUUGGAACAAGUCCUAAAUAUCUAGAGCUUUCCUUCAGAACAGUUUAUGCAUUUGUAAUUUGGUUUUGAACAUUUACUAUGUGCCAGGCACUGUGCUUGUUGCGUUAUAUAUGUUAACUCUUUUAAUCCUCCCAGUGACCUCAAGUGCUGGGAAUCAUUACUGUCCCCAGUUUGCAGAGAGGUUAGGCUACUUGCUCAAGGUCACCCAGCAGGAAGUGGCAGAGCAGGUCUGUGCGACACCAUAGCCUUUGUUCUGGUACACAGGAACUGGCAUUCAAGCCUGGCUUAUCAACUGCAAAUCACAUACAAGCCCCAAAUUCCAGCCAAAAGGAUAGACUUGUAACGUGAGCGUAUCUAUAACUUACACUCCUCUGCCUGGAAGAGCUUCUAUGUAGUGAAGUUCUUUUCUUUCAAGGUUGCGCUUAGUUUCCACCUCUAGCAAGCCUCCUCUGAUUAUCCCAGCCCAAAGUGAUCCCUCUCUUUCCCCAGCCCUGUGUUUCUGCUACUUCUUUGGCCCCAAGACUGCCUUGUGUUACA
rnacentral:lncRNA from 10 species